GAGGUAGCCAACACUGUUUAUAUAUAUAUAUAUAUAUAUACAUAUAUAUAUAUAAAUGUUUUAUUUUUUUAUUUUUAUUAGGGUAGCCUCCAAAAUAUUGGGACAUAUAAAAAAAGUAAACUCUGUUCCGCAGAGUAGCUGUUGACAUUAUAGUUGCGCAGGCACUUUAUUGACUCUAGAGAACCUCGGGUCAAUCGCACAUCCCCGUGAUGGCGACUUUACAUUUGGAUGUCAUCCAUAUCAACUUUUGAUGCCAGUUUCUGCUCCUACCAUGGUGACAAUGGGUCACGGGGAAUUAGGGUUCCAUUCCGUACAGGGACCCUGAGAAACGGCUACCACAUGCAAGGAAGGCAGCAGGCGCGCAAAUGACCCACUCCCGACGCGGGAAGGUAG